rnacentral:rRNA from 1 species
UACGUAGGGACCGAGCGUUGUCCGGAAUCAUUGGGCGUAAAGAGCGUGUAGGCGGCCACUUAAGUCCUGCGUGAAAUCUUGCGGCUCAACCGCAAGCGGUCGUGGGAAACUGGGUGGCUAGAGUGCGGGAGAGGAGAGUGGAAUUCCUGGUGUAGCGGUGGAAUGCGUAGAGAUGUGGAGGAACACCAGUGGCGAAGGCGACUCUUUGGCCUGUAACUGACGCUGAGGCGCGAAAGCGUGGGGAGCGAACAGG